UUGAUCUUGGCUAACAUCAACUUGAAUCUAUCGAAGUCGUUGAGAGCUGCCCUUUUCUUCUGGACGAUAAGCUUUCUACCCCAUGAGCUAUUCUCCCACUUGUUCUUAACAUCUUCCAACACAAGAAUAUGCAAUUGAAUACAGAAUAUACAAUUGAACAAAGGAUAGGGAUCAAGCAGAAAUCAGAAGCAGAUGUGUACAGAAAGUGUUGUCCUUACCAGCCUUCUCCAUAGCUUCAAUUAAAUUUUUCUUUUUUGGAACCCUGUUAAUGUCGAUCUUGAUAUCAGUGAGUGAAAGCCUCUUAAAGUUCAUUUGGCUCCUCACCAUAUCUGGGGCAUCAACUAGAGCCUGUCAAGAAAAAAAACACACAAACAAAAGCUUUAGAAAACCACCAUUCAUGUUCAGCAACUCCUAAAUAGAAUUACUAUUGCUAAGCAUUGAAAUAUACACAAAAAGGAUUACACUUAAGAAGCACCCUGACACCAUCAAGGGUGGUUAAGGUGGAAUCCUAGCAGGUUGUUAAGUAGGCGAAAUCUAAGACCUAUCUCCAUAUUCAGACUGAGGACGCUGGAAGUGAGUCUCCUGCCUUUACCAUCAACCAACCCCCAUUACGUUUACAAACAACACAACAACGAGUUUCUCUCGAGAAAUACAAGUGCGCAGAUGCUAAAAUUCUAUAGUAAAUAGAUAAACACACAGAUAUUGCUACACAACCAAAUAACACAAGGAAAUACUACAGAAACACCGAA
rnacentral:lncRNA from 1 species